rnacentral:tmRNA from 1 species
GAAGAGAUAAACCAAACUAGCGUCAUGUUGGUUGUCUAUCACCUUGCAUGACGUGAAAUGAAUAGAUAGACUACGCACGUAGAAACAUUUGUAUCAGGACCUCUGGACGCGGGUUCAAAUCCCGCCGCUUCCAUAU